AAUCAAUUGACUAGUAUAUUACAGGUUCUCUCCAGAUGGUGAUAUUAUACUUUUAGAUCCACUUGACAAGUGGGGGUGAAUUCUUUAUAUAGAUGGUGAGUCAAUGGAGGCUUCCUUGUUCUUGAAUCUGAGGCCAUUUGUUCUAGUACAAUGCACACGACUGAGUAGUAUAGCGAUUCCAAGAAGGCUCUUCCCUUCCACAACCUGUUCCAACUCUUGAUGUGAGGCCCUACUUCCAGCAAAUCAGCAUCUAAUGGCGGAUCCAGUGACCAUGCUAGGCAUGAAAGCCAUAGGAUGGGUAACAGCGCCUAUCGUCUCUGAGCUUUUCAAGAAAUGCGCCAACUACCUGAGCUUUCACGCGUCAGAGAAGUUACGACAGCUUGGUCCAAAAGUUUUGCUGAUCGAGCGGGCUAUGGAGGUAUUUGAGGAGUUCCCCAACAGGUCUCGUGUGGAGCAGUUCUUCAACGAUCUUAAGAAUGCUUUCUAUGAAGCCGAAGACAUCUUGGAUGACAUUGAGUAUCAUUGUCUCGAGAAAAAAGAUCCAAGAUGACAAGUUCAAAUCAGAUGGCAUAAGAGAUGCUGGCUGAAAAACUCCUGCCCAAGGCUCCCCCCCUAAAAAAUAAGGCUACUGGUAUAUCAAAGAAGGAUUUGAAAGAAAGGUUAGAGAAGAUAGACGAUAUUCUAAACAAUGCAUACAAAUUUGUAGAACAUCUCAAAUUUAUCGACCGUGAUUAAUUUCAAUGGAAGCCAAGCUGCUCCUGCUAGUUCGGAAGGCGCAGUCACUACGGGGGGCCCUCCCCCAAUAGUAUUCGGGUGAGAUAAAGAGAGUGACAAGAUCGCGGAAAUGCUUCAUGAGAAGGAAUGUGAUGGUCAGCCAAAUACCAACAGUGGUUUAUGUUAAUCUGUAAUUGGUCUUCAUGGCAUUGGCGGGUCUAGGAAAACUACCCUUGCGCGGUUAGUUUAUGCCCCUGAGAAGGACAAGCAAGAAAAAAAAGUAUUUUGACCUUG